CCCUAGCCCUGAUAGAAGUGGAAAUCCUUUUUCUGGCUUCUUUAGCCAGGAAAAGAUUGUAACGAAUAGCAGGAAAUAGC
rnacentral:sRNA from 2 species